rnacentral:rRNA from 1 species
CUACGGGCGGCUGCAGUGAGGAAUCUUCCGCAAUGGGCGCAAGCCUGACGGAGCGACACCGCGUGAAGGAUGAAACCCUUUUUGGGCGUAAACUUCUGUUCUGAGGGAACAAAUUUUUGAGGGUACCUCAGGAGAAAGCACCGGCUAAUUCCGUGCCAGCAGCCGCGGUAAGACGGAAGGUGCAAGCGUUACUCGGAAUCACUGGGCGUAAAGCGUCGUAGGUGGACGCGUCAGUCUGGAGUAAAAGGUGGGAGCUCAACUCCCAUUGUGUUCCGGAAACUGCGCGUCUUGAGCAACUCAGAGGCACCUGGAAUGCUGUGCGUAGGGGUAAUAUCCGUUGAUACACAGUGGAACGCUAAAAGCGAAAGCAGGGUGCUGGGGGUUUGCUGACACUCAGAGACGAAAGCGUGGGUAGCGAACGGGAUUAGAUACCCGCGUAGUC